rnacentral:tRNA from 1 species
GGACAGGUGUCCGAGUUGGUCGAAGGAGCACGAUUGGAAAUCGUGUAGGCGGGGAUAACUCGUCUCGUGGGUUCGAAUCCCACCCUGUCCG